rnacentral:rRNA from 1 species
AGAAUCAACGCUGGCGGCGUGCCUAACACAUGCAAGUCGAACGAGAAAGUGGAGCAAUCCAUGAGUAAAGUGGCGACCGGGUGAGUAACACGUGACCAAUCUACCCUUGAGUGGGGGAUAACCUCGGGAAACCGGGGCUAAUACCGCAUAACAUCCUCGGGACGGAAGUACUGGGGAUCAAAGGAGCAAUUCGCUUAAGGAGGAGGUCGCGGCUGAUUAGCUAGUUGGCGGGGUAAUGGCCCACCAAGGCAAAGAUCGGUA